rnacentral:misc_RNA from 1 species
UCCGAGUUGACCCCGGCAGUCUCCUAUGAGUCCCCACCACCCCCAAGGGGGCGUGCUGGCAACAUAGAACAAGGGUUGCGCUCGUUGCGGGACUUAACCCAACAUCUCACGACACGAGCUGACGACAACCAUGCACCACCUGUGAACAGCCCACUAAAGGACCCCACAUCUCUGCAGGAUUACUGAACAUGUCAAGCCCAGGUAAGGUUCUUCGCGUCGCAUCGAAUUAAGCCACAUGCUCCGCCGCUUGUGCGGGCCCCCGUCAAUUCCUUUGAGUUUUAGCCUUGCGGCCGUACUCCCCAGGCGGGGAACUUAAUGCGUUAGCUGCGGCACAGAGCCCGUGGAAUGGACCCCACACCUAGUUCCCAACGUUUACAGCGUGGACUAC